rnacentral:rRNA from 1 species
AACGAACGCUGGCGGCAGGCUUAACACAUGCAAGUCGAACGCCCCGCAAGGGGAGUGGCAGACGGGUGAGUAACGCGUGGGAACAUACCCUUUUCUACGGAAUAGCUCUGGGAAACUGGAAUUAAUACCGUAUACGCCCUACGGGGGAAAGAUUUAUCGGGGAAGGAUUGGCCCGCGUUGGAUUAGCUAGUUGGUGGGGUAAAGGCCUACCAAGGCGACGAUCCAUAGCUGGUCUGAGAGGAUGAUCAGCCACAUUGGGACUGAGACACGGCCCAAACUCCUACGGGAGGCAGCAGUGGGGAAUAUUGGACAAUGGGCGCAAGCCUGAUCCAGCCAUGCCGCGUGAGUGAUGAAGGCCUUAGGGUUGUAAAGCUCUUCACCGAUGAAGAUAAUGACGGUAGUCGGAGAAGAAGCCCCGGCUAACUUCGUG